CUUGAGUCUAAUGUAAACAUUCUUAUUCGUUCGACUUUGAAAUUCCGUAUCACUAGAUUUUCCGAAUAUUUGAAAAGUAUACCGGUGAUUCUAACAAGAUGACAGUUUUUAAAAAGGAUCAUUAAUAAAGCGACUAGAUGGAAAUCUCCCGAACACUCUGAGGAGCAGAAUUGUAUCAUUAUUUCGGCGGCUUAAAGCAACUCCAUGAUACUCGGAGAAGCGAGAGAAGCAAGGUUGAUACUAGCUACAAGUCAUAUUCCAAAUACCCGCUGUUGUUAUUUAACCGGCCACCGUGGAAAUCAGACUCA